GAGGGGUACGCCCCGGAACGGAGCGCGUUGCGGUUUCAGUCGCUAAAAAGCCACCGCCGACGGACGCCGCCGACGUCACGGGCCGCGUACAAGACGUUGCAGACGUCGUCGUCGACGCGAUCGUUUUCUCUACGCGCACGCGACAAGCCGGGACGACGCCGCCGCGAUGUUCUCCUCCGGUGACCAGUGACAGCCGUCGCGAACCGACCGAGUGUCCGGCACGUCCGGUUAGGUUUCCGUUACGCACUAUCGGGUUUUUCGGGAAUUUUUUUUUUUUUUUUUGUGCAGUGCGAGUGGGCACGUGUUUCCGGGUGAGUCGGCGCGAACUAAUAUAUUUCGGCGAACAAACGUACUCUCGCGCCGGACACGACGACCACGCUCGGGCGCACGGAUACGGCACGGUAAGAAUCGCUGCACGCGCACAGCAAUAAUCGUCGAAUGUUAUUUUAUUGAUACAUCGUUUGUCGGCCCCGUUCC